rnacentral:lncRNA from 10 species
AUGACCUGUGCUUCACUGUUCUUUUGUGAACAAAAAUUCCUUACUUUUACUUUUUAAAUCUAUGGUAGGACCUCCCAGAGCAGGGCUCCACAACUCCCCGGCCACAGACUGGUACCAGUCCACGGUCUGUGAGGAACCACGCCACACAGGAGUAGGUGCGCAGCAGGCAAGCCAGGGAAGCUUCAUCUGUAUUUACAGCCACUCCUUAUGGUUCAUAUUACAGCCUCUACUCUGUCUCCAGUCAGAUCAGUGAUAGCAUUAGAUACUCAUAGGAGCAUGAACCCUGUUGUGAACUGCCCAUCUGAGGGAUCUAGGUUGUGUGCUUCGUAUGAGAAUCUAAUGCCUGAUGAUCUGUCACUGUCUCACUUUGCCCCCAGAAGGGACCAUCUAGUUGCAGAAAAAUCAGCUCAGAGCUUCCACUGAUUCUACAUUAUGUAGAUAAUGUGAUUGUCCACUAUUACGGAGUUGAUCAAU